rnacentral:rRNA from 1 species
GACGAACGCUGGCGGCGUGCUUAACACAUGCAAGUCGAACGAAGUGGCGAACGGGUGAGUAACGCGUAAUCAACCUGCCCUUCAGAGGGGGACAACAGUUGGAAACGACUGCUAAUACCGCAUACUGAAGGAGGAGAUUGCGUCUGAUUAGCUGGUUGGAGGGGUAACGGCCCACCAAGGCGAUGAUCAGUAGCCGGUCUGAGUGGAGGAUCGGCCACCUUGGGAAUUGGACACGGCCCAUGCUCCUUCGGGAGGCAGCAGGGGGGAAUCUUCCGCAAUGGACGAAAGUCUGACGGGGCAACGCCGCGUGCGUGAUGGCGGCCGUUGGGUUGUAAAGCUCUGUUAAUCGGGACGCGGUACCGGAAUAGAAAGCCACGGCUAACUACGUGCCAGCAGCCGCGGUAAUAC